UACGUAGGGGCCGAGCGUUGUCCGGAGUUACUGGGCGUAAAGCGCGUGUAGGCGGCUUUGCAAGUCGGGUGUGAAAGCCCUCAGCUCAACUGAGGAAGUGCGCCCGAAACUGCGUAGCUAGAGUCCUGGAGAGGAAGGUGGAAUGCUUGGUGUAGAGGUGAAAUUCGUAGAUAUCAAGCGGAACACCGGUGGCGAAGGCGGCCUUCUGGACAGUGACUGACGCUGAGACGCGAAAGCGUGGGGAGCAAACAGG
rnacentral:rRNA from 1 species